UGAGGAAUAUUGGUCAAUGGACGCAAGUCUGAACCAGCCAAGUAGCGUGCAGGAUGACGGCCCUAUGGGUUGUAAACUGCUUUUAUAUGGGGAUAAAGUGGGGAACGUGUUCCCUUUUGCAGGUACCAUAUGAAUAAGGACCGGCUAAUUCCGUGCCAGCAGCCGCGGUAAUACGGAAGGUUCGGGCGUUAUCCGGAUUUAUUGGGUUUAAAGGGAGCGUAGGCCGAUUGGUAAGCGUGUUGUGAAAUGUAGGAGCUCAACUUCUAGAUUGCAGCGCGAACUGUCAGACUUGAGUGCGCACAACGUAGGCGGAAUUCAUGGUGUAGCGGUGAAAUGCUUAGAUAUCAUGAAGAACUCCGAUUGCGAAGGCAGCUUACGGGAGCGCAACUGACGCUGAAGCUCGAAGGUGCGGGUAUCGAACAGG
rnacentral:rRNA from 1 species